AUGCCAGAGGCUCUAUUUCCUAGCAUUUUACAGCUCCUAUAACUGUAGAAUGGUUGUAGGUCACAGGUAUAACCAAUGAAAACACAACCUAAGAUACAAAUCAGGAGCUACUGAUGCAAAGAAUGGGGACCAGGAGGAAGAGUUUCUUCGAGACCUGGUGGUUGAAGAGCAGUGGAUCAUUCUUGGCUGUGGUGGGAGAGGUGCUGAACGUUGUUCACGCUGGCUAUGUCAUGAGUGGAAUCUAUGGCGUCAAGGCUAGAGCUGGAGGGAAUGGGCUCCCCAUUGAGGUGAUGGACUUCAUCCCUGGUGCUAUUCAAGCAGUGGCUGUGGGCUUCCAGUCAGGGAUGCAGUGAAUGAGCCUCUUAUACCAGAGAAGGAUGGAUAGAGAAAAGCAUCAUUACAAAAGUGAAAUGUGUGAAUUUUAUUCUGGCUUUGAACAUUGAGUAGACGAAGAAGACAAUUCCAGACGGAGGAAACUCCACAAGAAAUAUCAUGGAAAUUUGAAAGAACACAGUGGGCUUGGGAAGAGGUGCUUCCAAGACCAAGAUAACCAGGCAAUCAUAGUAGAUGCAUCAAUGCACCCUUGCCCAAGGGCCUAGACAAGAGGAGGAAGGAAAGGAGGAGCACGUGCACAAAGCUAAGGAGGUGAUUAACAACAUGAUACAGUAUUGUUUAGCUUCGCAUGAAUUUUAUCACCUUGCCUAGAACCAGCCACCAUCUGCCAGGGCUCCUGACUUUUUCUGAAAUGAAUAGACACUAAAGCCUGCUGGGGAAUUUCAUGGAAAUCAAGAUGACUCAACCCAGAGUCCAUUUCAAGGCUAGGAUGCUAGAGGACGCCAACAAAGGAGUAGGGAAGUGAAACGGAUCAGCUCACAUCCAAGCCCUUGCAUGAUCAAUCCUGCAGUAGGAGUGCUGCUCAGUUGGGACUCAUGAGAGCCCGGAAGAGGAAAAAGCAGCUCUAAGCAUAGCAAAGAAGCUGUUAUGGAAAAGACCCAAAUGUUAAAAUGGUGGACAUAGUAAAGUGAUUGGUUCUGCUUAGGGGAAUCUAGAUCCCCACAUUUUGACCUCCACUGGAGUCUCAGAAGAACAAGUGCCAGGGGGGCUUGCCACAGAGGCCAAGGCAGUGAAUGUCAGGCACAUCACAGUCCCCAAGAUGGGGAGAAGACUGAGAUGCAGGGUAACAACUGCAAUCCAUUCAUGGGAGCCAUGUUUAUCUUAAAUCAUUGACAGUGAGAUAAGGAUCAUGUCAGCCUUCAUACCUUUGAUGAUGAUCCCAGGCUGCAACAGUGACACAUAGAACUGGAUUCAGUAACUAACUACAGAUUCCAUCAACCAGGACUAGUAAAGUGAAAGGCAGAAAUUGGGAGGAGGGGUUUCUUUCUUGCUUAUAAAACUUUAUUUGGUUGUGUUGAGUAUGUGCAUGUAUGUAUGAAAUCCCAUAAAGCAGUCUUCUUAGGAACAAGCCAACAUGCCACAAUGUAGGAGAUCUUUGGAGCACUGGCCUAAAUGGCAGAGAGCUCAAGGGACUCUGCUUUGUACAAGGCAUGAUUUGUACCACCACCACUAUCCCUGUUUCAGAGCACUGUUGAAUUGUUCCAAACCUGGAUUUCUAUGUCAGCUCCCUGUCUAUAGUACUUGACUGAUAAAUGCUAGUUUCUGAAAUCUGCUUUGGUUCUAUAAUUUAUUAGACAGCUUUUUCUUCCCAUUUUAUUACUUGUUUUUACUGUCAUUGGUAUAUUAUCUCUUACAGUGAAAACAUUCAUAGGCUGAUUGAAGAGAAGAUCUGAAAUUAUUAGGCAGCAAGCAUACAAAACCCUUGCUUUAUAAAGAUAAUAUCUUAAAGGCCUAAUGUCUAUGGUUCAAAGCAGCCUGGAGAUGUUGGCUAAAUCUUCCAUCAUAGAGUCCUCAUGGGAUCUGGAAGCUCUGAUUUAUCUUCCU
rnacentral:lncRNA from 1 species